CCUACGGGAGACAGCAGGGAGGAAUAUUGGUCAAUGGACGAGAGUCUGAACCAGCCAAGUAGCGUGAAGGAUGACUGCCCUCUGGGUUGUAAACUUCUUUUAUAUGGGAAUAAAAUGUUCCACGUGUGGGAUUUUGUAUAUACCAUAUUAAUAAGGAUCGGCUAACUCCGUGCCAGCAGCCGCGGUAAUACGGAGGAUCCGAGCGUUCUCCUGAUUUAUUGGGUUUAAAGGGAGAGUAGGUGGAUUGUUAAGUCAGUUGUGAAAGUGUGCGGAUCAACCGUAAAAUUGCAGUUGAAACUGGCAGUCUUGAGGACAGUAGAGGUGGGCGGAAUUCGUGGUGUAGCGGUGAAAUGCUUAGAUAUCACGAAGAACUCCGAUUGCGAAGGCAGUUCACUGGACUGCAACUGACACUGAGGCUCGAAAGUGUGGGUAUCAAACAGGAUUAGAUACCCUUGUAGUC
rnacentral:rRNA from 1 species